CGUUCGCUGCACUUCAGCUUUUGACUCGGCGAGAGAUAGGAGGGGGACAUCACGGCUGACAAAUUGGAGAGAGACGAUCGCUCCCAUUUUUUACCCAGAGACAGCUGGGUGUGCCUGUGGCGAGCGGAGAGAGGGGGACAGAGCAACUACAGAGGAGGGAGACACAGGGCCUGACAGAUUGGAGAGAGAUGGGAGCUAAGGGUUUGGACUGAGUGAGAGAGAUAUUUAGGUAGUUGCUCUGACAGGAUCUAUGGGAUUUUCUCCCAUUUUAGAGAGAGAUGGACAGCGAGAGAGAUACAGAGCAGAAAACAUAGGUGUGUGUAUUCUUGGUCUUCCGAAAACGCUAGAAACCUAAAACAUUCUCAGCUGCUCUGCAACGGGUUGGCGACUUCGAUCAUACGUCCUACAGUCCGCAUCGAUCUCUUCCAUGUCUGCUUCGUGAUCCCUUCGAUCCCUUCAAGAGGGAGCAAAACUUAUCUGGCACUUGAAAGCGAGGCAAUCAUGGUUAGAUUUCAUGUGGUUCAUGAUAGACUCGGUCAGGCUUUUGAAGGUUUGGCUGAUGAACUUUGCCUAUCAGAUGAAGUUAAGGAACAGGUAUAUACAUAUUACAUAUAUGUCCCUUUUGUCCGUUUUCAAGCUAAUGCUUCCCAUGUGUUAUUUCAUUUUUUUCACACGGACAGAUCUUUUAUCAAUUCAAACUAUUUUCGCUUUGCUGCACAUGAUUGAUAUAAGUCCGUCUAAGUUUGACGAGAUUCAGAGUACUUCUUAUGAAAUUGGUCACACGGACCACUACGGGGAAGACAUCCUCCAAACCCUCUACAUAGCAUUGAGAAUCUGAGAUUGGAGGUGAUAAGUAGCUGGUUUUAGCUUCUGACGCAGGCACUUGAAGAAGGAGCAAAGAUGAAUGCAUUAGUGGCGACGAACAGAAACUUUAAGUUUGCUGCUUGGCUUUUGGGAUUGGACUCCAAGCUUGAGAAAAGUUUACUUACACCAUUUAGGGAAAUCAAGAUAAUUUUGAAAAUAGUCUCCUUUAUGUAUAUCCCUUACUCUUAAUUAUAGGUUGAGUGUACUAUACCAAAAGACGAUGGCAGUUUGGCUUCAUUUGUUGGCUUCAGGGUUCAACAUGACAAUGCUAGAGGCCCCAUGAAGGGAGGAAUCAGAUAUCACCCAGAGGUUGAUCCAGAUGAGGUGAAUGCUUUGGCACAGCUGAUGACAUGGAAGACGGAGGUAGCCAACAACCCAUAUGGGGGUGCCAAAGGGGGUAUAGGAUGUAAUCCAGGGGAGUUGAGUCUUUCCAAACUAGAGCAACUCACCAGAGUUUUCACACAAAAGAUACACUAUCUUAUCGGAAUACACACCGAUGUUCCAGCACCAGAUAUGGGGAUAGGUCCACAGAUUUUAUAAAUUUGGAUCAUUUGAGGAAGCAGUUGGUUCCAUGCUGUUUUGAGAUCGAAACAAAGUGAAAGCUUUUGAUUGUGAAUUUUGCAACCGCUACCUUGCUGCUUUGUUUAGAUCGCGCUCACAUCAUAGAAUCAUAAUCUGCUCUUGCUGCUGCCUUUAAUCAAGGGGUUCUGAGCCAUUAGAUUUCAAUCAAGCCUUUGGUAUGUCCUGAACUUCAAUACAUUGUUUCCCCAUGCUUUCCAUUUUGAGACAGUGCGAUUUUAUAAUUUUUAACGUGACUGUUUGGUUAUUUCGGCUUAUAUUAUACGUUUGUUCUAAGCUUUGUUUCUCAUUCUUCAUUAUCUUUGUAACCUCUAAUUCUCCAGAGGUCAGGUAGUUCUUUCUUUCACGAUCCUUUCGUAGUUGUGCCAGCUUUGAAUAAUUUGAUCGGCGAGACAAAACAUUUCCAGCUCUCUUUUGGAAAUCAAAACACUGACUUCAGGAAGACUGACUUCAUCGUUCAUGGACUACUCCAAAACCAACCGCUCUCAAGACCAUCAAUUGCCAUGGUCACACCACAAACACCUUCUAUAUAUAUUUUCCCACCUUGACUACAAGGGCAAGAUUUGUGUUAACUACAUGUUACUUCUGUUUAUUAGGAAACCAAAACGUUAUGUUUCAUCCUGUUCAUCAUACAAUGUCUUUCAAAACCAGCUCAAUUGAAUGUAUAUAAAAACAAAGCUACAUAUCUUACCAACCCA